GUGCUCGCUUCGGCAACACAUGUACAAAAAUUGGAACCAUACAGAGAACAUUAGCAUGGCCCCUGCACAAAGAUGAUGUGCAAAUUCAUGAAGCAUUCCACGUUAUU